UUUUUUUCUGAAUUUUUUUCUGGACUCAUUUUUUUCUGUUUGAUUAUAGGUUUAUGCUGAAUUGAAACAUAUAUAUAGAUUUAAAAAAAAACUUGCAUCUUAUUGGGAUAUCAAUCCAGGAAAGUGGAAGGAUAUCAUGUUUACUGGAAGUGGUGCGGCCCAGUAAAAACAGCAAACAGAAAGUAGAAAAAAAAUGUUUUGACUUCAGGGUUACGUAACUUUUUAUUUUUCGUGGCAAGACCCACUUUUUUCCGAUUAAAUCACAAUUUCACAUUAGUACAUACAUGAUAUGAACAUGAAAAAAAUUUCUAUGUAGAAUUUUAAUUUUUUUAUUUUCAAAGAUCAGCUGUUUUGCAUGUAAGCCUAUUGAGCAGUCAAUUACAAGACUGCAACCUGAAU
rnacentral:lncRNA from 1 species